UCCUACGGGACGCAGCAGUGGGGAAUAUUGCACAAUGGGGGAAACCCUGAUGCAGCGACGCCGCGUGGGCGAGGAAGUACCUCGGUAUGUAAAGCCCUAUCAGCAGGGAAGAAACAGGACAGUAUCUAACCAGAAAGCCACGGCUAACUACGUGCCAGCAGCCGCGGUAAUACGUAGGUGGCAAGCGUUAUCCGGAUUUAUUGGGCGUAAAGGGAACGCAGGCGGUCUUUUAAGUCUGAUGUGAAAGCCUUCGGCUUAACCGGAGUAGUGCAUUGGAAACUGGGAGACUUGAGUGCAGAAGAGGG
rnacentral:rRNA from 1 species